GAUGAACGCUGGCGGCGUGCCUAAUACAUGCAAGUCGAGCGAACAGACGAGGAGCUUGCUCCUCUGACGUUAGCGGCGGACGGGUGAGUAACACGUGGAUAACCUACCUAUAAGACUGGGAUAACUUCGGGAAACCGGAGCUAAUACCGGAUAACAUGUUGAACCGCAUGGUUCAACAGAGAAAGACGGUCUGGCUGUCACUUAUCGAUGGAUCCGCGCCGCAUUAGCGAGUUGGUAAGGUAACGACUUACCAAGGCAACGAUGCGUAGCCGACCUGAGAGGGUGAUCGGCCACACUGGAACUGAGACACGGUCCAGACUCCUACGGGAGGCAGCAGUAGGGAAUCUUCCGCAAUGGGCGAAAGCCUGACGGAGCAACGCCGCGUGAGUGAAGAAGGUCUUCGGAUCGUAAAACUCUGUUAUUAGGGAAGAACAAAUGUGUAAGUAACUAUGCACGUCUUGACGGUACCUAAUCAGAAAGCCACGGCUAACUACGUG
rnacentral:rRNA from 1 species